GGAUGGCGAAGAUUUGCUGAGUUUCUCCAGCUGUAGCCUAAAGCCAUCGCUGAAACAACUUUGCACUGACCACUGUGAGGUGGAGGGUGGAGGAUGGGAGAGAAGAAAGCUUACCAGACAUCAAAAGUCAACAAGAAGAAGUCAGAACUGGGAGAUGGAUAGAAAGGGACAGAUUCCUGGUUGUAUCAUAAUACUCCUGGAUCCAGCUAUGCCUGAAUCUGAAGCCUUCUCUUGGAACAUCCCAGACAAUACUCAUAGGGUACCCCUAUAGUAUGAUGGACUCUGUGCUCGGCAUGGUAGGAAAGAUGCAAUCAUCAGUGCAGCUCCUAGCGCCGUGGGACAGAUGGACAGAAACAGCAACACUUAAGGGAAGGAAGAAGCCCCAACACACACGGUCUCUACACAGCCCCUCAGUUCCAUACCCACGGUUUUCUAGAGAGAUCAUCUUGCCAAAUUGGUUUGAGGAGAAAGCAGAUUGCCCUUGAACAGCUUGAAUUACAAGGCCACGCUUCAUAAAUCGAAGGUAUGACGAACAGGGUGGCCGCCUCAGGCAAAACAAAUGGGACUCUGGGAACAUCCUGAGAAAACAGGAGCCAAAGGAUGAACUCCACGCAGCCAGGCCAAUACCAGCUCUUGGCAGCCUGCCCCGGGAUCUCGGCUUGGUGUUGAGUUAGUGGCUCCACAGGACGACCCGGCUCCCAAACUGCCUCUGUGGUGGGUAUUUGAAGCUGCCCUUUUGCUUCCUUAUCACAAAUGAGCUUUCACAGGAGAGUGGAUACAAAGGUGAGUGGGCAGUUGAAGCUAAAAACUGCGAUUCAGACACCUCAAGCUGCAAAAGAGAAGCUAUUUCUCACGCAGGUCAUUUAUGCUCUUGACCACGGUGUCCCCAGGAAAACCUGCAUCCCGGCAUCUGAAGUUAUGGGGCUUCCCUACCUUUCCCCAUGCAUAUCUCAGCAGCGUGAUUUCAUGGAUGAGCACCGCAGCCUUCUGAAAUAGGAGCAGAGGGACUUUUCGUGGGACUGAUUUUGCAGAGAGGACUGGCAGGGAGAUGUCAAAUGACUUUCCAGGGUCCCAAGGUAGCAAAAAAAAAAAUUGCAGUACAGUUCCCCUGGCCUGGAGAGAUAAGUACUCCACUCCAAAGACCAGAGAUAUAGGACCGCUCAAUGCUGGAGCCUAUACUUUAUACUCACGGUCAGUAAACUUGUUCUCUAAAGGGAAUAUUAGUAAAUAUUUUUGCCUUCGUGGGCCACAUGGUCUCAGCUACAACCCCUCAACUCUGCCACUGUGGCACGAGGGCAGCCGUGGACAGUGUGCAAACACGUACAUUUGGCCGUGUUCCAACAGACCUUUAUUUACAAAAGCAGGCAGAGGGUUAGACGUUGCCGACUCCUGCUUUGUGCCAAUGGCAAAAGUGGAAAACAUGAUACAUGUACCCGAUUUAACUCUUACAGGAAUAAAGAAGGUAGAGAGUAUGAAACAGAAAGGA